rnacentral:misc_RNA from 1 species
AAGUCGUAACAAGGUUUCCGUAGGUGAACCUGCGGAAGGAUCAUUAAAAAAAAUUUAAUGAAUGGUCGGAGGGGAACAUUUUUUGUUCCCCUUUGGCUUUAUUCAACCAACCCGCUCUUGUAUUUUGUGUCAAACAAAAAAUUUCUUUAAAACUAAUAAAAAAUAGUAAUGUAAAAAAAAACUUUCAACAACGGAUCUCUUGGCUCUC